rnacentral:rRNA from 1 species
AUGGAAGGUACGACAGAGUUAAACCCUCAUAUUCAAGGUUAUUUUACUAAUUUUUUUACAUCGGAAGUUCAGCAUACAUACCCUAUACUACUUCAGAGGGUGCAUCGAAAGGUUACAGACCAAAUGAACAGGAUGCUCACGGCUCCAUUCUCUGGUGAUGAUGUGCGUAAGGCAGUCUUUAGUAUCGGCGAUCUUAAGGCACCGGGGCUAGAUGGAUUACAUGCAAUUUUCUUCAAAAAAUAUUGGCAUGUCCUUGGGGACGAUAUUACUGUUGCGGUUUUGAAUGCUGUUAGUUUGAAGCAGAUCCCACCAGAAUGGAAUGAUACCUCUAUAGUUUUGAUUCCAAAGGUGGAUUCUCCGGAAUUAAUAACUCAGCAUCGUCUAAUUAGCCUUUGCAAUGUGCUAUAUAAAAUAAUCUCGAAGAUGCUGUCAGUACGUCUUAAGAGUAUUCUACCUGACAUUAUUUCUCCCACCCAAAGUGCAUUUGUACCUGGCAGGAUGAUCACUGACAAUAUUCUUGUGGCUUAUGAAUGCAUUCAUAAAAUCAAAAACACCAAAAAUAGUAAGGCAGGUUUGUGUGCGGUAAAGCUUGACAUGCAGAAGGCGUAUGAUAGAGUCGAAUGGAUCUUUUUAAGAAAUAUGAUGCAGAAGUUAGGUUUUGAUGAACAGUGGGUCAAUCUUAUAAUGGCUUGUGUGAGUUCUGUCAGAUAUAAAGUCAGAUAUAAUUCUCAAGAGACUGAUAUGUUUAUACCCUCAAGGGGUAUUCGACAGGGUGACCCUUUGUCACCUUAUUUGUUCCUAAUUUGUGCAGAAGGCCUUUCUAGCAUGUUGCAGUAUGAAGAAGAAGUUGGUGCCAUUGAUGGGAUUAGGGUGUGCAGGAAUGCACCGUCAGUAUCACACCUUUUAUUUGCUGUCGAUUCUCUAAUUCUCAUGAGAGCAGAUAUGUUGAAUGCAACUUCCUUACAGAAUGUGCUGGACACCUAUUGUGAAAAUUCAGGACAAUUGGUAAGUUUGGGGAAAUCCAGUAUAUUUUUCAGUCCAAGUACUAAUGUGCAAACUAGAGAUGAAAUCUGCCAGCAUUUACACAUCACAACGGAAGCACUAUGUGACAAGUAUCUGGGCCUGCCCGCUAUGGUGGGUGCAGAUAGAAGUGAUUGCUUUAAACACUUCUGUGAGAAAAUCAAAAAAUUGUUGAAGGGAUGGAUGGAAAAACAGUUAUCUACAGGUGGGAAGGAAGUCUUAUUAACAGCUGUUGCUCAAGCCAUCCUUGUAUUUGCUAUGUCGGUCUUUUGUUUGCUGAAAGGAAUAUGCAAAGAUAUUACUGAUGUGACAGCCCAGUUCUGGUGGGGAGAUGAGGAGGAAAAUAAGAAAUUACACUGGUUUUCUUGGUGGAAACUUUGUAUCCCAAAAUGUGAGGGUGGUAUGGGGUUCAGAGAUUUAUAUUCUUUCAACCUA